GGCAGGGAAGAGCCAUAGCUCAGUGGUAGAGCUUCCGCCUUGCAAGCAGAAGGUCUCAGGUUCAAUGGGACUGUGGUCUAAACCACUGAGCCUCUUGGACUUGCCA